rnacentral:rRNA from 1 species
GACGAACGCUGGCGGCGUGCUUAACACAUGCAAGUCGAACGGAAAGGCCCUGCUUUUGUGGGGUGCUCGAGUGGCGAACGGGUGAGUAACACGUGAGUAACCUGCCCUUGACUUUGGGAUAACUUCAGGAAACUGGGGCUAAUACCGGAUAGGAGCUCCUGCUGCAUGGUGGGGGUUGGAAAGUUUCGGCGGUUGGAGAUGGACUCGCGGCUUAUCAGCUUGUUGGCGGGGUAGUGGCUUACCAAGGCUUUGACGGGUAGCCGGCCUGAGAGGGUGACCGGCCACAUUGGGACUGAGAUACGGCCCAGACUCCUACGGGAGGCAGCAGUGGGGAAUAUUGCACAAUGGGCGGAAGCCUGAUGCAGCAACGCCGCGUGCGGGAUGACGGCCUUCGGGUUGUAAACCGCUUUCGCCUGUGACGAAGCGUGAGUGACGGUAAUGGGUAAAGAAGCACCGGCUAACUACGUG